ACACUCCUGUGAAGUUUGGCCAAAAACAGGAACAGGCCACAGUCACUGGCAGAAAUAGCUGCAAUCCCUCACACUACACAUAUCAGCAACGAAAUGGUCCUGCCCCAAUAUAUGAGCCCUUCUAGCAAGAAAAUCACUGCCAGCCUCCCUGUAUUUGUAUAGUUAGUAGUGUUUGUAUAGUUAGUGCCUUUUGGAAGCAAGCUCUCAUAUCUGAAGUGUUAUAAAGCGGUUUCUGUUUAUUUAUAGCUUUUACCAGAGAGUCAAAUGGAGGAGAAUAAAUAACAGAAAAGAAUAACCAGGGAAAAGUUUGAGAGAACAGAACGUUUUUAAAGAUCUGACAAAUCUGAGAGACAAAGAAGCAUUCUCCAUCUGGUGACGUGUCCCGUGACUCCCCGCCCCACGGGAGGUACUGGGCGUUCCCACCUGAGCCCGAAUGUAUGUAACUCCUGAGAUCUUUGAGUUUUGAGGGGAGGAGAGGGCUUCCCCCAAACGAUCAAGACCAUCACUUGGACAGGACUGUGACCACCAUCUUCAACCAACAGAACACUGAAGGUGCAACUACCAAGUUUCAUCGCUGGAUCCAGUGAGUGGUGACUACAUAUAUCUUUCCAUUUUUAUCCUUUCUUUCUCUUCCUUACACAUUUCCUUAAGUGUUACUUUUAUGCUUUAAUAUUGCUGUAUUACUUUAGAUGAUAAGAAGCAAAACGGCUACACACCUGUUUUCCUUUGAAACAAAAUUGCUCUAAAAUAAACC